CAGUCGCCGCGGUAAUACGAAGGGUGCAAGCGUUACUCGGAAUUACUGGGCGUAAAGCGUGCGUAGGUGGUGGUUUAAGUCCGUUGUGAAAGCCCUGGGCUCAACCUGGGAAUUGCAGUGGAUACUGGGUCAUUAGAGUGUGGUAGAGGAUAGUGGAAUUUCCGGUGUAACAGUGAAAUGCGUAGAGAUCGGAAGGAACAUCUGUGGCGAAGGCGACUAUCUGGGCCAACACUGACACUGAGGCACGAAAGCGUGGGGAGCAAACAGGAUUAGAUACCCCUGUAGUCCCUGUCUCUUAUAC
rnacentral:rRNA from 1 species